rnacentral:rRNA from 1 species
CAAUAGCGUAUAUUAAAGUUGUUGCAGUUAAAAAGCUCGUAGUUGGACCUUGGACCUGGACAGGCGGUCCGCCUCACGGCGUGUACUGUCUUGCUGGGUCUUUCCUCUUGGUGAUCUGUUGUUUCGGCAGCAGGGAACCAGGACUUUUACUUUGAAAAAAUUAGAGUGUUCAAAGCAGGCUCGACGCCGGAAUAUAUUAGCAUGGAAUAAUAAAUAGGACGUGCGGUUCUAUUUUGUUGGUUUUUGGAAUCGCCGUAAUGAUUAAUAGGGACAGUCGGGGGCAUUAGUACUCACAUGCUAGAGGUGAAAUUCUUGGAUUUUGUGAAGACUAACUUCUGCGAAAGCAUUUGCCAAGGAUGUUUUCAUUAA